UAGGGAAUCUUCGGCAAUGGGGGGAACCCUGACCGAGCAACGCCGCGUGAGUGAAGAAGGUUUUCGGAUCGUAAAGCUCUGUUGUUAAGGAAGAACGAGUGUGAGAAUGGAAAGUUCAUGCUGUGACGGUACUUAACCAGAAAGGGACGGCUAACUACGUGCCAGCAGCCGCGGUAAUACGUAGGUCCCGAGCGUUGUCCGGAUUUAUUGGGCGUAAAGCGAGCGCAGGCGGUUAGAUAAGUCUGAAGUUAAAGGCAGUGGCUCAACCAUUGUAGGCUUUGGAAACUGGUUAACUUGAGUGCAGAAGGGGAGAGUGGAAUUCCAUGUGUAGCGGUGAAAUGCGUAGAUAUAUGGAGGAACACCGGUGGCGAAAGCGGCUCUCUGGUCUGUAACUGACGCUGAGGCUCGAAAGCGUGGGGAGCGAACAGG
rnacentral:rRNA from 1 species